rnacentral:rRNA from 1 species
UGGGGAAUAUUGCACAAUGGGCGCAAGCCUGAUGCAGCCAUGCCGCGUGUAUGAAGAAGGCCUUCGGGUUGUAAAGUACUUUCAGUCGGGAGGAAGGUGUCAAGGUUAAUAACCUUGGCAAUUGACGUUACCGACAGAAGAAGCACCGGCUAACUCCGUGCCAGCAGCCGCGGUAAUACGGAGGGUGCAAGCGUUAAUCGGAAUUACUGGGCGUAAAGCGCACGCAGGCGGUUGAUUGAGUCAGAUGUGAAAUCCCCGGGCUUAACCCGGGAAUUGCAUCUGGUACUGGUCAGCUAGAGUCUUGUAGAGGGGGGUAGAAUUCCAUGUGUAGCGGUGAAAUGCGUAGAGAUGUGGAGGAAUACCGGUGGCGAAGGCGGCCCCCUGGACAAAGACUGACGCUCAGGUGCGAAAGCGUGAGGAGCAAACAGG